rnacentral:rRNA from 1 species
ACACGUAGGUGGCAAGCGUUGUCCGGAAUUAUUGGGCGUAAAGCGCAUGUAGGCGGUUUGGUAAGUCGGUCGUGAAAAUGCGGUGCUUAACGCCGUAUGGCGAUUGAAACUGCUGAACUUGAGUGCAGGAGAGGAAAGGGGAACUCCCAGUGUAGCGGUGAAAUGCGUAGAUAUUGGGAAGAACACCGGUGGCGAAGGCGCCUUUCUGGACUGUGUCUGACGCUCAGAUGCGAAAGCCAGGGUAGCGAACGGGAUUAGAUACCCCGGUAGUCCUGGCCGUAAACGAUGGGUACUAGGUGUGGGAGGUAUCGACUCCUUCCGUGCCGGAGUUAACGCAAUAAGUACCCCGCCUGGGGAGUACGGCCGCAAGGCUUAAACUCAAAUGAAUUGACGGGG